UAAAACCGCGUGAAGAGCCAUUGAGAUUGCAUCUGCCGUUGACCUGUUGUGGCAAUAAGCAAACUGCAGGGGGUCCAGGUCCUUGCUGAGGCAGGAGUUCAGCCUAAUCGUGAACAAGCUCUCAAAGCAUUUCAUCACUGUCCAUAAGGUGCUGACGCCAACUCCUAUAAAGGUGUGUUGUACAAUCCACAGCAGUACAAGAUUCAAGAUUCACAAUUCAUUUAUUAUGAAAGAAUGUAUAAAUUGUACAACUUUGAGAUUUGCUUGCACACAGCUAAACACAAGGCAAGAAACCCAAAAAAAAACAUUUAGAGAAGAAAAAUAAAAAUAAAAAUGAAAGACCAACCCUCGAUGCGCAAGAGAAAAAAAAAACAAAGCAUGCAAACAAUUGAAGCGAACAACAGCAUUUUGAACCAAAAUUCAGGCCUCAGAUCCGAACCUCGGAGAAUGCUCAAAGCUUCGCUUAUCAGUUCAUCAGGCAUGGAGCACAGCAUCCGGGGCAGUCUUCAGAGUCCUAACAGCGUGGAGAUAACCAUCACCGAGAACAAGUGAAAUCUGAUUUUGCCUCCGAUCCCAGCACCCUGUCUUUUCACAAACAGGAAUAAAUCUACAGAUACUGAAAAUGCAAGCAACGCACACAAAAUGCUGGAGUAACUCAGCCGGCCAGGCAGCAUCUAUAGAAAAAAAGGACAGUCAACGUUUCAGGCCAAAACUCUUCAGUGUCCAUCAGGUCCAUGUUAAAUCCAGCAGAGGUAUUUCAUCAGUCCCUUUUUUCUAUUUGUUUUCCUGUGGCCUUUUUCUUGGUAUUUUUUUCCCUCCAACAUAUCCAUCAAUUCCCUGUUGGAUAAACAAGAGGCCCCGGACACCAGAAUCUGAAGUAACAAUCUGCUGAAGUAAUUCUGCAGGCUGAGCAGCCCCUGUCAUUCUUUUAGAUGUCAGACAGUAGAUAACAAACUUUCUCAGUCUUUUCUAAUAUGAAAUCAUAGCAAUCAAUCUUGAUGCACUGGCAGUAUAGCUACAUAUCAUUCCUCAAGUUCAGAGACUAAAAUUGCACCCGGUAUUCAAAUGUACACACAUAAGCUCUGUACAAUGUUAGCAACGCCUCUUUAUUUUACUACAGUCCAGUGGAUCUGACGUUGUGAAGUGCUUCAGGAAGCUGGUCAGGGUAUGCAUCAACUCCAGCUUCCCAGACAGCCUCAACCCACUGAAAUUUGCCUACCACUGAAAUGGGUCCAGGACAAACAGCACCUCCCUCACCAUACACUCCUUUCUGGAGCAUCUAAACAGUAAAGACACCUACGCCAGACAAUUGUUUAUUGAUUACAACUCCUCAUUCAAUGCUUUUUACUCCAGAGAAACAUAUCACUAAACUCCGGACCUUGGAAGUCAAUGCCUCUCUCUGCAAAUGGAUCAUUGUUUUUCUGACCAACAGAACACAGUCAGCAAGCAUAGGCAGCAAUACCUCUGCCAGAAUUAUUCGAAACAUUGGAACUCCACAAUGUUGCGUAGCACACUAAUCUACUCCCUGUACACUUAUGACUGAGCAGCCAGAUUCCGCGUGAAAAUCUUGGAGCAAGUUGAUUCAAUGUCCAGAAUAAUGGAAAGUAACCUAAGCUCCCUUUCUCAUUCACUGUCCAGCAAUGUUUGCUGAGUGGGUAAGUGUGAACAUUAGAUGAAAAUAGGUUUGUAUUUGUUCCAAUGGCUGUACAGUCUGCCAACAUCCACUGUGAAAAAUAACUGCGUAAAAGCAUAGCGAAUGAAGUAUCAGAAAGAAAUUAGUAUCUGUGAAAUUGUGCCUAACAAAGAGUUAAGUCCUGAAAGGAAACAUGGUUGAAAUGAGUGGAGAAACAUGGGCAUUUUGAGGAAUACCGUAUAGGGGUAGCUCUUGAAUGUGAAAAUAAUUCAAAUCAUACACUUCCAUUUCUAACUUAGUAAGUACUGCCAUAUUAACAAGCUUUAUGCUCAGGACUCUUAUGAUAAAACCUCAUUCCAAGCUGAUGCAGAGUCAAAAUUUACUGCUCUUAGUUCAGAUAGUGUACUAAGUUCAUUACAAAGCCUUAAGUAAAUUUCAUACUUCAAUUUUCAGAGUUCAAAGUUUAAAGUGAAAUUUAUUUUCAGAGUGCAUACAGGUCACCACAUACAACCCUGAGAUUCUUUUACUGCGGGCGUACUCAGCAAAUUUAUAAAAUGGUAACUGUAAACAGGACCUGCAAAGUAUAAACAUCAGGAACUGUAAACUGUCAACAAACUGUGCAAAUGCUGACAAUAAAUAAAUAAUAAUAAAUAAUGAGGAUGAAAUAACAAGAUAAAGAGAGUCCUUAAAUGAGAGUAGCUAUCCCCUUUUGUUCAAGAGCCUGAUGGUUAAGGGGUAGUAACUGUUCUUGAACCCAGAGAUGUGAGUCCUGAGGCACUUGUACCUCUACCUGAUGGUAGCAGCGAGAAAAGAGCAUGGCCUGCGUGGUGAGGAUCUUUGGUGAUUGAUGCUGCUUUUCUACAGCAAUGUUUCAUGCAGAUGCGCUCAGUGGUUGGGAGGGUUUUAGUAAUGAUGUCCUGGGCCGAAUCUAUUACCUUUUGUUGGAUUUUCUGCUCAAAGAAAAUACCAUACCAGGCCGUAAUGCAGCCAGGCCGUAUACCAGGCCGUAAUGCAGCCAGUCAGCACACUUUCCAUCACACUUCUAUAGAAGUUUACCAAGGUUUUUGAUGACAUGUUAAAUCUCCCCAGAUUCCUGAGGAAGUAGAGGCACUGUCAUGCUUUCUUCACAACUAUAUGGUGAGUUCAGGACAGAUCCUCUCAGAUAGUGACACCCAGGAAUUUAAGGUUACUUAUUCUCUCCACCUCUGAUCCUCAGAUGAUUGCUGACUCAUCAACUGGUUUCCCUCUCCUGAAGUCUACUAUCAGUUCCUUAGUCUUAUCGACAUUAAGUGAGAGCUUAUUGUUAUUACACUACCCAGCCAAAUUUUUAAUCUUCCUCCUAUAUGCUGAUUCAUCACCACCUUUGAUACAGCCCAGAACAGUGGUGUCAUCUGCAAACUUUUAUAUGGUGUUGGAGCUGUACUUAGCCAUACAAUCAUAGGUGUAAAGUGAGCAGAGCACGGAGUAAAGUACAUGUCCCUGGCGUGCUUCUGUGCUGAUAGAGAUUGUGGAGGAAACACGAGGAAACCUGCAGAUGCUGGAAAUUCAAACAACAACACACACAAAAUGCUGGUGGAACACAGCAGGCCAGGCA